GGGGGAGGGGGACAUCCGGCGUGAGGCGCGGGGAAGCGGGUGUGGGGGGGUGUUGUCUGUUGGAAGUUGCGGCGGAGACCCGCGGUCCCCGCGCAGCUAUGGGGAUGGUCUGAGCUCCAGCAUCUCCCCAUGUCGGAGAGCGGCCGAGACUGGAUACAUUUUUAAAAACCCCAACUGCAAACAACUCUGGCGAUGCCAGAAUUCCCCUCCAAGUGACACGGCUUUGCGAAGGAGUCUUCCUCAGCCUGGGCUCUUUCAUACCCGCUGCCUUCCUCAGUGACGAUUAAAGGCAAUAGGAAUUGAGGGGGGGGGGGGAAAGAAAACGAAAAAGCUGUGCUAAACUCUAUCGUGACCUCAAACUCUUUGGACUGGCUUUUUAAAAUACUGAAAGAAAAUUCAUUCUUAAAGGGAAUCAGGAUCGGAAGAAAUGGAAGUUUUCCCCUUGCUCUUGGUUUUGUCCGCCUGGUGGUCUCGAACCUGGGACGCGGCGAAUGCGGAUUCGAUCAUUCACAUCGAGCCGAUUCCAGCCUGAUCAGAAGACUAGAGAAUGCCCAGAAAAAUAAGAUCGUCAUUCACUGUGCUUGCUCUACCUAGCCUUGUCCCCAGGCCCACGUCACAUCAUACCACCUUCCUAC
rnacentral:lncRNA from 1 species